rnacentral:snoRNA from 11 species
UGGACCCAGGAUGAGACCGUAUUUACGAACAAAGAAUCUCGAUUCAUCUGGUUCUGCACAAAAUACUGAGGUCCAUC